rnacentral:rRNA from 1 species
GUAACAAGGUUUCCGUAGGUGAACCUGNGGAAGGAUCAUUGUCGAAACCUGCCCAGCAGAACGACCNGCGAACUUGUGAAAUCACCUGCGGGAGGGGUGCGUCCGCCUUGCUGNGGUCGCUCCUCCCCGCCUGUCGCGGGUGCGGGCCUCNNCUUGCUCCCAGCGGCGGAAAACAACGAACCCCGGCUCGGACUGCGCCAAGGAAAUCUAACGAGAGAGCACGCUCCUGCGGUCCCGGACACGGUGCGCUUGCGGGAUGCGGCGCCUUCUUUCACUUUAUCUAAAANGACUCUCGGCAACGGAUAUCUCGGCUCUCGCAUCGAUGAAGAACGUAGCGAAAUGCGAUACUUGGUGUGAAUUGCAGAAUCCCGUGAACCAUCGAGUCUUUGAACGCAAGUUGCGCCCCAAGCCGUUAGGCCGAGGGCACGUCUGCCUGGGUGUCACGCAUCGUUGCCCCCACCACAACCCUUUCGGGCUGUCGCUGGGGGCGGAAANUGGCCUCCCGUGAGCUCNUAGCACGCGGCUGGCCCAAAAUUGAGUCCUCGGCGACCGAAGCCGCGACGAUCGGUGGUGAGAACAAGCCUCUCGAGCAAACGUCGCGCGCUCCUGUCCCUGAACGCGGGCUCCGGACCCUGACGCUCCGNUCANGNGGCGCUCGCAUCGNGACCCCAGGUCAGGCGGGAUUACCCGCUGAGUUUNAGCAUAUCAAUA